rnacentral:rRNA from 1 species
UACGAAGGGGGCGAGCGUUGUUCGGAUUUACUGGGCGUAAAGGGCGCGCAGGCGGCUCAUUUUGUCAGGCGUGAAAGCCCCGGGCUCAACCUGGGAAUGGCGAUGGAUACUGGCUCGCUAGAGUGCGGUAGAGGAGAGUGGAAUUCCCGGUGUAGCAGUGAAAUGCGUAGAGAUCGGGAGGAACAUCAGUUGCGAAGGCGGCUCUCUGGACCAGCACUGACACUGAGGCACGAAAGCGUGGGGAGCAAACAGG